AGUAAGGAAUAUUGGUCAAUGGAGGGAACUCUGAACCAGCCAUGCCGCGUGCAGGAAGACGGCCCUCUGGGUUGUAAACUGCUUUUAUUCGGGAAUAAACCUAGAUACGUGUAUUUAGCUGAAUGUACCGAAGGAAUAAGGAUCGGCUAACUCCGUGCCAGCAGCCGCGGUAAUACGGAGGAUCCAAGCGUUAUCCGGAUUUAUUGGGUUUAAAGGGUGCGUAGGCGGCUUAUUAAGUCAGGGGUGAAAGACGGUGGCUCAACCAUCGCAGUGCCCUUGAUACUGAUGAGCUUGAAUACACUAGAGGUAGGCGGAAUGUGACAAGUAGCGGUGAAAUGCAUAGAUAUGUCACAGAACACCGAUUGCGAAGGCAGCUUACUAUGGUGUGAUUGACGCUGAGGCACGAAAGCGUGGGGAUCAAA
rnacentral:rRNA from 1 species